GAAAUUUAAUAAUAAACAAAGUGAAUUGAAAUAUCUUAGUAACUUUAGGAAAAGAAAUCAAAAGAGAUUCCAUGAAUAGUGUGAGCGAAAGUGGAGAAGUCUAAAAAGUAAAAUGGUAUCUAAACAGUUUGAAUACUAUGGGGAACCUUCCUCAAAGACUAAAUAUAAUACAUGAGCUAUAGAAUAGAGUACCGUGAGGGAA
rnacentral:ncRNA from 1 species